AUUAGUUGUUUCUGAAGAAUUGUAAAGUUCUGAAUUCAAAGCGUGCUUAUAAGUUAUCGAGACGGACUUUUUCUCCCCUGCAGCAUGCCAGAAGCUAUACAAUCCACCCCCUCUGAAGGAGUUUGUUCAUUAAAAAAAAAAAAAAAAAGGAAAUUUGGGUGCAGACAGGCACACAAGGAGAACACCAUGUCGACAAGAAGGCAGAAGUUGGAGUGAUGAGUCUACAAGCCAAGGAUUGCCAGCAAUUCAUCAGAGGCCAGGACAGCAGCCUGGGGCAGCCCCCUACAUGGUACCAACUCCAUCAACACCUUGAUCUCAGACUUCCAACCUCCAGAACUGUAGUCUCUGUCACCCAGGCUGGAAUGUAAUAGCACGAUCUUGGCUCACUGCAACCUCCACCUCCUGGGCUCAAGUGAUCCUCCUGCCUCAGCCUCAGCAUACUUUCUAACCUUGUUUAUGUCACCACAAGAAACCCAAGGCUCCUGGGUAAGCCUUCAUCCUCCACACGGCUCUAUAAGCAGUAAGCAACCACCUCCCCAAACACACACACGCAAUCCUUAUCUUCCUUCCUGCCCUUUUGUAAAACUUAGCAUUUAUGAUCACUUGACAAAUCAUAUACUUUAUUUACUUGUUUUUCCAUCCUUUCCUGGAAUAAAAGGACUAUGAGAGCUGGAAUUUGUUUGGACAGAAAAAAAAGUGUUUAAAUAAAAGCAGAGAGAGAG